rnacentral:misc_RNA from 1 species
UAGCUACGAUAUGCGGUGUGAAUUGCAGGACACGCCGAACACUAGAUUUUCGAACGCACAUUGCACCUUCGAGUCUUUCUCGAAGGUACGCCUGUCUGAGGGUCGGAAUGAAAUUGACGCAUAAAUGUAAAGGCUCGUAUCGAAAGACAAGUACUUGUUGCUAUACUUUCGUCGAGCAUGAGACGUUUAGCGAGAUUAGUUUGCGAGCUAUGUUUGUCUUGUACGGCAUAAGAGCGGCUAUCAGCGCAACACCACAUGUUGUCGCUGCGCUCUCAGCCCUAGAGUUACAAAUAAACGGUGCGAGCUAACGACUAAUUCCCGUUGGAUCAUUCAUUCGUUCCAUGUUGACGCAAGUUGACAUGUGACGACAAACUUACUUUUGUCGACCUCAGAUCAGACG